AUAUCUAAAUCCAAUCAUCAGAUGUUAAAAUUAAUUGGCUGAAGGAAGUCUGGCAAGAUACACAGAAAUUUCCCUCUCAGCUUUGGAGGGUUGUCCUGAUAAGAAUAGGGCUGGCUCAUAGGUCAAUUAAGAAUUAA
rnacentral:snoRNA from 1 species